UACGAAGGGGGCUAGCGUUGUUCGGAAUUACUGGGCGUAAAGGGCGCGUAGGCGGUGUGUCAAGUUAGGCGUGAAAGCCCGGGGCUCACCCCCGGAAGUGCAUUGGAUACUGGAAGGCUGGAGUACCGGAGAGGAGGGUGGAAUUCCUGGUGUAGCGGUGAAAUGCGUAGAUAUCAGGAGGAACACCGGUGGCGAAGGCGGCCCUCUGGACGGAUACUGACGCUGAGACGCGACAGCGUGGGGAGCAAACAGG
rnacentral:rRNA from 1 species